AGUGUCAAGGGAUGGGAAUCGAAGCCACGACCUUCCGCUUACCGGACAGAUGCCAUGACCACUAGGCCACAUGACC
rnacentral:tRNA from 1 species